rnacentral:rRNA from 1 species
AUUGAACGCUGGCGGCAGGCUUAACACAUGCAAGUCGAGCGGAGAUGAGGUGCUUGCACCUUAUCUUAGCGGCGGACGGGUGAGUAAUGCUUAGGAAUCUGCCUAUUAGUGGGGGACAACAUUCCGAAAGGAAUGCUAAUACCGCAUACGUCCUACGGGAGAAAGCAGGGGAUCUUCGGACCUUGCGCUAAUAGAUGAGCCUAAGUCGGAUUAGCUAGUUGGUGGGGUAAAGGCCUACCAAGGCGACGAUCUGUAGCGGGUCUGAGAGGAUGAUCCGCCACACUGGGACUGAGACACGGCCCAGACUCCUAUGGGAGGCAGCAGUGGGGAAUAUCGGACAAUGGGGGGAACCCUGAUCCAGCCAUGCCGCGUGUGUGAAGAAGGCCUUAUGGUUGUAAAGCACUUUAAGCGAGGAGGAGGCUACUUAGAUUAAUACUCUGGGAUAGUGGACGUUACUCGCAGAAUAAGCACCGGCUAACUCUGUGCCAGCCGCCGCAGUAACAC